GGCCACGUACAUGCAACAUCACCUCAUUAGGUGACAUUUGGAGUGUAUCCUUUAUUUGCCUUCUAGACUACAAGCUUAUGAAGCUGCUCCUGCAUCAACCAAAGCACCAUCAUCGUAAAGUUAAAACUAAAUUUAUAAAUGAAGAAAAUUAUUUCAUUUCGAAGUCCUUCCCAUUAAUUUAAACUUUUAUUGAAAAGGUAAAUUACUUGCAUGCACCUCCUUUGGUUGAGGAUCAAACCAUUGUAGUUUCCUUCUGUCCUGUCGGUGUACUACAAGAGCCUUGUCUCAUCACCGGUUGCCUUCUAUCUUAGGAUUUCUCCAUCAUUCAAAUAUAGUAAAAAAUAUAGAAGAAAUAUAAUGAAUAGAACAAAACUAAAAUCUGAAGAUACAAAACGAGUAAAGCCACUGUGAACUUUUUAAUAAUGACAGAUUUUAUCGUAGAUUCCUCACUCUCAAUUACCACUUAUUUCCACAUAUGCACUUAGCAUGCAAUUUGGCCUAAGUUUCACCAUUCCGCUUGCUCACAUUUGGAGAUAAAAGAACGAAAAGUAAGGAUUAAGUGUAAAUAGUAAUUAUAGCAACAUAUGAUAUAUUUAAUGCAAAGUAUCUAAAUUGUAUUCAUUACUUGAACUCUUCAAAUCCAAAGAAAGUUGCUAGAUACCUUCAAUCAUCCAAACCAACGUCCUUAGGAACUGUUUCAAGUCGAUCUUCAUCGGUCUCAUAAUACGUAUACUCAUAGAUAGCCAAUGGUGCCAUCCUCUAUAUGGAUGUUGCAUAUUCCCGAGAAUGAAAACAUGCAUGCACAUCUCAUCUUUGAACACCAUGCAAUUUUGCUUGUUAAAGAGCAUCCACCAUAUAAAAUACGUAAUAAAAAAUGUAUUAGCAAUAUUUAUUUUGCCUCUAUUCAAACUAAACUAUAUUCCAAGAAUAAAAAAUAUUUUUUCCUUUGUCCAAUUAUAUACUUUCCAAGGUGCAGUCAUCUUAUUAACAUAGCCAAUGAAUGUUAGAAUGUUUCUAACAUCUUUGCCUACUACCUGAUUUGUAUCAGUGAGAACUUCCCGGACCCUGAUUUAAUGUCUACUUCAUUGUACUUAGUCUUUGCUCUUCCCUUCUUAUAUCACAUUUUUAAUCGAGAAGGCUAUAUGGAAUAGACUACAAAUAAGUAAAACAUACCAAAUACAAAAAGCUAUAAUUAUAACAGAAAUGAUAAAUCAAGAAUUUUGCACAAAAUUAUCUACCAUAUAUUUAAGCUAAAUAAAAUAGUAGAAACAAAAAGAAUGCAAUUAUAUACCUACCUUGCUAGGACUCCUACAAGAUAUCCUACAACUUGAAUUUUAUCAUUGGGUCAUUGAUAGGUGAUAUAUGUGAUGAGAGCAGACAAGGGUUGUGAGGGCAAGAGUGAUUCGGGCUGUUGGGGCUACUUUAUGUAUAGUCAUGGCCUCCUCAUUUGAUGCAAUAUCCCUUAUGGCUCCUCAACAACCUGAAGGAUGCUUGAUGGUAUUUUGUAGUGGAAAAAUAAAAAGAAUAGAAUAGGAUCGCUUUUUUUCAAUAAAUCACCAUGACCGUAUAGUUUAUAUACAUAAUAGGAGAGAUGUAUACAUGUAAGGAGAUACUAAGGUCGGGAAAGCAUAUGAGCCUCUAAGAAUAAUUAUUUAGUCGUUUUAGUCCACGUGCCUAUCUAGAGCUUUGCUUAGCUCCCAGCAUUCAAAAGAUCUUACAUCAAAC
rnacentral:lncRNA from 1 species